rnacentral:lncRNA from 1 species
UGUCAUUGGUAAACAUCCUUAGAUGGCAUCAGUCAAAUAAGUCCAGUACUAUGUUGCAUGUUCCCUGUGACCCUAAUUUCUAAACUCUCCAGAAAAAACUCCAUUCAGCUGAGUUCUGUGCGCUCAAUGGCAUGAUCACUGAAAUGUGCAACCUUAUACAGUAUUUAAUUUGUGAACAGCUCAACAGUAUACACCAAGGAGCUGUAAGAUGUGUAACCAUGGCAUGUGUGCAGCUCCAAAUGUCUGAGGUGCCAGCUGAGAUCUGAGAUCAUCAGACCAGAGGAGGGAUACGGAGCAGGAGAGACUGAAAGAAAGCAACUUGCACAGAGAAGUCCCUCUCCUAGCAGAUUUGGAAACAUCUCUCACAAAAACACGGUAAGGACACUGUGUCUCAUUGCUCUAUUAGCUUUUCAUUUGCUGCAGCUUGCAAAAUGAAAUAACUGUGUAACAAACUAUUUUAUUUCCUUAUUAGAAGCAAAGUAUUGGAAUCA